ensembl:lncRNA
AUGUCACGACACCAUCACCGCUUUGAGAGAGACUAUCGAGGCCCCUGGGACCGUCGCGAGCGAGCCGGAGGCCUUCACAAUGGCGUUGGCAACAGCACCUGCUCCUCAGCACCGCCCGUGGCCAACGGCAACAACCGUCCGGGACUCCUCCCGCUCCCGGUCAUCCCGUCCCUCCUUCCCACCCCUGUGACCAUCGCCGUGACCUGUUUUGUGUCAUAUAGUCUGAUCUCAAUCGUAUGUAUUGUCUCUUUGCAGGCGGCGGGUCUUUCUCCUGGUGAGACACAGCCUCCGAGUCUCCUGUUGGCUCCUGGAGUGAGAUGGGGCCAGACCCCCAUCAACCAGUCCACUCCGUGGGAGACCGACGAGCCUCCCACCAAGCAGCACAGAGAGAGCGACACCACAGGGCCCCCAUGGGUGCCUCCAGGGGUAGCGGCCAGUCAGCCCAGCUUACUGGCCCAUUCGUAUGGGAUGCCUCAGCCACCCGCCUAUAGCCAAGGAGUGUCCGUCCAGUCUCCCAUCAUCGGCGUGACCCCAGCCAUCCAGACGCCCAUCCCACCGCACCAUCCACUCAUGACCGCCCACUUCCAGCUUCCUCCCCUCUCCUCCCAAGUGCCAGGUAGCCUGGUCCUAAACCUACAGAACCAGUCACCCUACGCCACCAGCCAGCUGCCAAUCACCCCAUCGCCCCUCACGACGGCCGGCCGGGUAGUUCACCCCGCCCCUCAGAGCGUGGUGGGAAACGGUCACAUGACACACCCGCUCAUACAGCCACCUGCUUUGCCUUCCGCCGCGCUGCCACUAACGAACGGACAGGCGACGACUCAGCCGGCAUCAGCCAAUCAGGAAAGUCCGAUCAGGCUUCAGAUGCUCCGUACGGUCGGAAUGGGGAAGUACGAGUUCACAGACCCGAGUCAUCCGAAAGAGAUGUUGAAGGAUUUGAACCAGCAGCGCAGAGAGAAAGAGUUUACAGACCUGAAAAUUAUAGUUGAAGGCAAAGAGUUUGAAGUCCACCAAAAUGUUCUAGCUUCCUGCAGCUUGUAUUUCAAGGACCUGGUGAAAAGGUUUACUCAGUCCAGUGGGCAGGACUUUGGAGAGAAGCUGGAGCUGAAGAUGACAAACAUCGGUGCAGAUGUGCUGGAGCUGCUGCUGGAGUUUGUCUACACCGGCUCGCUGGUCAUCCACUCGGCCAACGCCAAAACCUUGCUGGAGGCCGCCAACAAGUUUCAGUUCAACACUUUCUGCAAAGUCUGCGUGUCUUUCUUAGGUUUAUGUAAAGAUAUCAAAUUAUAUAAUAUGAUAUAUCACAUUCACAUAUCCGAGUUGCUGGCCGUCGUUAGACUUCCAUUCAUUCACCCCAGUUACCUGCUGAACGUGGUGGACAAUGAGGAGCUGAUUAAAUCGUCUGAGGCUUGCCGAGAUCUGGUCAACGAGGCCAAGCGCUACCACAUGCUGCCUCACGCGCGGCAGGAGAUGCAGACGCCCAGGACGCGGCCGAGACUCUCUGCAGGUCAGAUGCACGAUUGCAACUUUUUACUUUCUAAUUCUCAUCUGUCUUUCUCUAGUCUCACGUUACUGUACCUCGGGGUGGCUGGAAACUUGGACCAUGUGGAAAGGUACGACACCAUCACGAAUCAGUGGGAGACGGUCUCUCCGCUGCCCAAGCCCGUUCAUUCGGCGGCUGCCACCGUGUGCGGCGGGAAGAUCUACGUGUUCGGCGGUGUGAAUGAAGCUGGACGCUCAGCUGGUGUUUUACAGUCUUACGUCCCUCAGACCAACACCUGGAGCUUUAUAGAGUCCCCCAUGAUCGAUAACAAGUAUGCUCCUGCUGUGAGCCUCAAUGGUUUUAUCUUCAUCCUGGGAGGAGCCUACGCCCGAGCCACCACUAUCUACGACCCACACAAGGGCAACAUCAAAGCCGGCCCCAACAUGAAUCACUCCAGGCAGUUCUGCAGUGCGGCGAUCCUAGAUGGCAAGAUCUAUGCAACGGGAGGGAUCGUGAGCAGUGAGGGACCGGCGCUGGGCAACAUGGAGACCUUCGACCCUUGCACGAACACGUGGACGCUGCUGCAGAAUCUGCCGUGUCCGCUUUUCAGACACGGAUGUGUGGUUAUAAAGAAGUACAUUCAGAGCGGCUGACGAUGUGCUCGACUCUGGACUUCUCUAAUGUCACGAACUGGCCUAAACCAGCCCAUCGAGUUCCAACCAGCCAACCUGGGUGGAACACAGUCGGACCGUUGCAGUUAGCAAGGGAUCCAUAGCGUAGCUCCCCCUCAGGUGUCGUGCCAUUGGAACUGUAUUCUAGGUCAGCCAAAUGCAUUUAUUUAUUUUUUUUUGGUCCCUCUUCCAAUGUUUGAGUUGAUGUUUUUCUCCCUCAUGAUGUUUCUUUGAUAAGGUUCCCAUCAAAUCUCGUUUUUCAUUGGUAGUCAUGAGAAUAUGGGAUUGUGUAUCAUGAUCAGUUUCAUCUUGAAAGGACUUCCGCAAGAAGCCAAAGGACGACAAUGCUAGUCAUGUAGCCCUCCAGCGAGGGUCAGCGCUACAGAGAGCCGGGAUUGAAUGAAGGCCCUCCUGAACUCCAAAGCACAAAAAUACCAGAACCUGUGAUGCCCAGAGGAGUUUCAUUUCAUUUUGUUCUGUGUAAAUCAUUCCACCUUUUCUUUGUGGGUUUUAUCCUUGUGGUUUAUUCCAAUCCACGACCCUGCAGCUGUGGCAGAAUACAGAUGGAAGGAGAAACUUUGUAUUAUAGGGAAGAUAUGUAUAUUUUAAAAACGAAUGAAAAUUGUGUAUAAAUGUUUUUAGAGAAAAAACAAUGGAUUGGACAAUGUCUGUAAAUCUGUAUCCUACCGGAACAAUUUACAUUAUUAAUGCUGAAUUACAUAUCCAAAGCAACAAGUUGACUGUUUAUUUACAUUUCACUCUUUUGCAUGAUGUUCUCACAACUUAUGACCAAGUUGUCAUUUUUGGCUAACCUGUAAGGAUUUUUACUUAUGAAGUGCAAUUUCUUUCUGAGUAAAUGUCUAUUUAUUAAAGUUAGUUCUGUAGUUUCCAUAACACACACACACAAAAAAAUGAAGCCAGUAAAUAUU